UACAGAGGGGGCUAGCGUUGUUCGGAAUUACUGGGCGUAAAGGGCGCGUAGGCGGCCCGCUAAGUCGAACGUGAAAUCCCCGGGCUCAACCGGGGAACUGCGUCUGAUACUGGUUGGCUUGAGUGCAGGAGAGGAACGCGGAAUUCCAGGUGUAGCGGCGAAAUGCGUAGAUAUCUGGAGGAACACCGGUGGCGAAGGCGGCGUUCUGGACUGCAACUGACACUGAGGAACGAAAGCCAGGGGAGCAAACGGG
rnacentral:rRNA from 1 species